UUAUUCUCACAGUGAUAAGAGAAAGCUGCAAUACAUCUAUUCCGUUUUUGACACGAAUUUUGUAAAUUUCAUAUUUUGUGGGACAAUUAGAAAAUCUUGCAUUAUAAUUUUAUUACUUGGGCGAAUAGGGGCUUUCUCAAGGCGAACAGAAUGAGCAGGAAUUAACUGGUUUUGCACCCAUUCUUUGAAGAAAUCACCUCCCAUAGUUUUAUGGCAACCUCUUAUCAUUG